rnacentral:tRNA from 1 species
GCAGCCGUAGCUCAGCUGGAUAGAGCGCUUCCCUCCGAAGGAAGAGGUCAUGAGUUCGAAUCUCAUCGGUUGCGCCA